UUCUGGGGCUAGAUUUAACUGCCAGCAAGUCUUGUACAAUUCAGCUGACUUCAGCAGAGCUGCCUGGGAAAGCAAACUUGGGCUGUUUGUAUUUGUUGUGUGGUGCUGUGGAGUCCCCCAGAUGAAAGGUGCUACAGAGGACACUGCAUGGGUCAUGCUUUACCGUGUGGUUUGCUAACCAGGAGUCUGAUGUUGGAGGAGAGCAGUGGAUCGAGGAGUGGUGCUUCUGCUCUUCCCAGACGUGCCCACAGCCAUGCUGUGGAGAAGACGUGGAAGACAGAACUGAGAAGUGCAGUGGACGCACAGAGGUGGUGCAGCUGCAGUGCCCAGCACGCCGCCCAGCCCGGAUUCGGCCGAUGGUGCAUCAGUCCCCCCAGGUCCAUCCAGGAACUGGGACCCAGGCUUGAGGCAUUAUCAGAGGUGAUGAAAGCAACUAAAAAUUACAGUUCCACUUCCUGUUUUGCAAUGAGAAGUGAUACCAAAUACAGCCUGGAAAGGAUCCACAACUGUCAUUGGAAGUUUUUGAGAUCUUGCAUCUCCAGAACAUCCCAACUGACUUUAUUGCAGGAUGACUUUGGCAACAUUUUGGUGGAACUCCAGGCAUGCUUGAAAGCAACAGCAACAGUGUUUUUUUCUUCAGUGAACUAG
rnacentral:lncRNA from 1 species